rnacentral:rRNA from 1 species
CGUAGGGGGCAAGCGUUGUCCGGAUUUAUUGGGCGUAAAGAGCGUGUAGGCGGCCAGACAGGUCCGUUGUGAAAACUAGAGGCUUAACCUCUAGACGUCGAUGGAAACCGUCUGGCUAGAGUCCGGAAGAGGAGAAUGGAAUUCCUGGUGUAGCGGUGAAAUGCGCAGAUAUCAGGAAGAACACCCGUGGCUAAGGCGGUUCUCUAGUACGGUACUGACGCUGAGACGCGAAAGCGUGGGGAGCGAACAGGAUUAGAUACCCUGGUAGUCCACGCCGUAAACGAUGGGUGCUAGGUGUGGGGGGUGUCGACUCCCUCCGUGCCGAAGCUAACGCAUUAAGCACCCCGCCUGGGGAGUACGGCCGCAAGGCUA